AGUGAACGCUGGCGGUAGGCCUAACACAUGCAAGUCGAACGGCAGCACAGGAGAGCUUGCUCUCUGGGUGGCGAGUGGCGGACGGGAGAGGAAUACAUCGGAAUCUACCUUUUCGUGGGGGAUAACGUAGGGAAACUUACGCUAAUACCGCAUACGACCUACGGGUGAAAGUGGGGGACCGCAAGGCCUCACGCGAUUAG
rnacentral:rRNA from 1 species